UUAGAUAUGUGGGAAACUAAUUUGAUAGAAGAUAAGCAUUUCCAUGUGAGAUGUAUGACUCAUAUACUUAAUCUAAUUGUGCAAGAUGGUUUGAAUGAAAUUAGUCCUUCUAUCAAAGGGUGAGACAAAUGGUGAAAUAUUUUAGAUCAUCUUCUUCGAGGACAAGAAAUUUCUUGAAAUGUGUUGAAAUGCAAAAGAUAGAAUGUGAUAAGUUGUUGUCUUUAGAUGUGCCUACUAGGUGGAAUUCCACCUAUUUGAUGUUAAACACAGCAGAAAAGUGUGAGAAGGCUUUUAGAGGUUUGAUCUUUACGAUGGUAAUUUUAAUUCUUUUCUUGCUACUAAUGUUUGUGAAGAUGGAAGUAUCGCAGGGUCAAAAUAAUAUGAAGAUUGGGCUAAUGUGAGGAAUGUCACAAAGUUUCUUGAAAAAUUUUAUGAACUCACUUUGAAAGUUUCAGGUUCACGGUAUGUUACUUGUAAUGUUCAUUUUGAAGAUAUAUGUGCACUUGAUGCUUAUUUGAAAUUAUGUAUAGCAAGUGAUGACCUUGAUUUGAGUAAAAUGACUUUGGGAAUGAAAGAAAAAUUCAAGAAAUAUUGGGGUACUCCUGAAAGAAUGAACAAAAUAAUUUUUAUUGCUUAUGUUUUGAAUUCUCACAAUAAAUUUGUGUAUGUUAGUUUUGCUCUUGAAGAAUUACUUGGAAAACGGAAAAUGUAGUGAAUACGAAAGUAGAGUCUUACUUGAGGGAUUUGUUUGCGAUAUAUGUAAGUGAGUAUGGAAAAGGUUCCAAAAGUCAACCAUCUUCAUCUGACUCAUCUGAUUCUUCUGCUUGUGGUAUUUCUCAAAAUGUGUCCAAAAAUUCUUUGAGAACUAAGUUGCACAUGAAAAACAAAAGAAUGAUUCUGGAAGUUUAGGUGUUAAAUCCGAGUUGGAUAAAUAUCUUCUUGAAGACCAAGAACCUGAAUCUGGAGAUUUUGAUAUUUUGAGUUGGUGGAAAGUUAAUUCUCCUAGAUUUUCUGUACUUUCACAGUUGGCUCGAGAUGUAUUGGUUAUUCCUAUGUCGAGUGUGGCAUCGGAGUGUGCAAUUAGCACUGGUGGUCGAAUUCUAGAUCCCUUUAGAAGUUCAUUGACUCUCAAAUGUGUGCAAUGUCUUAUUUGUGUCCAAGAUUGGCUUAGACAAGAAACCAAGCCUAUUUGUGUUGAAGAAAGUUUGGAGUUUCUUGAAAAAAUUGAACUUGAGAUGACAAAUAGUGGAAGAAACUCUUCCAUUGUUGAUCUAUGAUUGACUUGCAAGCGUUGAGUUUAAUACAUCAUUUAUUUAAUCAUAUCAUUUUUAAUCUUAAAAGUAGUAUUCUAAGUUUCUAAUAUUUGAUUUUAUCUUAAAAGUUCCAAGGGUCAAGACAAUGAAGAAAUAAUUUUGUUGACAUGGAAGAAAGUCAAGAAACUCAUUAUUGUUGUUUGUUAUUGUUGACAUUUGAAUUGAAAGUAAUCUCAUGGAAGAAGACAAGAAGUUUAAAAUACAUUGUUUGUUUCUUAUUAUUGUUUAUUAUGAGCUCAUGAAAGACUUUAAUGUUACUUGUUAGAUUGUUAUUAUGUUGUAUUUGUGAAGACAUUAACUACAAAUCUACAAUGCAACUUUUGUUUUAGUUUCAUUGUUAAUUAAAAAUUGUGUGUUUUAGUGA